UGCCACUAAAAUAGAAGCCUUGCAGGAGUAUAGAGGCCACCUGGCCUCACGAGUAACUGAUGCAGAGAUUCUAGCGGCAACGAGGUCUAUGGCAUUUGAUAAGACAACUAGUCUAGAUGGAUUCCCAACAAGUUUAUCUGAGAGCUACUAGAUUACGUUUUGUGAGGAUAUUUGCAGGGUGAUCAAGGACUUCUUUCAUUGCUAUUGAAUGUCAGAUGCUGGGCAAGCAACUUUCACAAU
rnacentral:lncRNA from 1 species